rnacentral:lncRNA from 1 species
CAUUGGUGCGUAAGACUUACGCGCUCUAUUCACGAGUGGGUCUCCUCUUUAUCUUUGAACGAUUUCGCAAGUGUAGACACAACACAGGUGAGAGAGAGAGAGAAAAAAUAGUCUUUACUCUUCUUCAGUGAGAGAGAGAGAAGUUAGAGCUGUAAAAGCACAUGACUUCAAUACCAUUGGGGCAUCCUCAGCCUCCGUCUUUAGCUCCUCAGCCGCCGCAUCUUCACGGCGGAGAUGCUUUGAAACGUCGUCCCGAUAUGGAUUCAGACAAGGUUUAUUAUGUCUUCUCUUUUAGCUUAACGUUUGUGUGGAUCUCUCUCUCUCUCUCUCUGAUAGAUUCUUGGUGAACAAUGCAUUUCAAUUU